AGAAUCAACGCUGGCGGCGUGCCUAACACAUGCAAGUCGAACGAGAAAGUGGGAGCAAUCCCAUGAGUAAAGUGGCGCACGGGUGAGUAACACGUGACUAACCUACCCUUGAGUGGGGGAUAACCUAGGGAAACCUGGGCUAAUACCGCAUAAUACCUACGGGUCAAAGGAGCAAUUCGCUUUAGGAGGGGGUCGCGGCAGAUUAGUUAGUUGGCGGGGUAAUGGCCCACCAAGACAGUGAUCUGUAUCCGGCCUGAGAGGGGCGCGACGGAACGACGACCUAGGAACGUGAAACACGGUCCAGACUCCUACGGGAGGCAGCAGUGGGGAAUUUUGCGCAAUGGGCGAAAGCCUGACGCAGCAACGCCGCGUGAGGGAUGACGGCCUUCGGGUUGUAAACCUCUUUCAAGCAGGGACGAUUGUGACGGUACCUGCAGAAGAAGCUCCGGCCAACUACGUGCCAGCAGCCGC
rnacentral:rRNA from 1 species